rnacentral:rRNA from 1 species
GGGGCGCAGCAGGCGCGAAAACUUUACAAUGCGGGCAACCGUGAUAAGGAAACUCCGAGUGCCAGCACAGUCGGGCUGUCCAUCAGUGUAAAAAACUGGUGAAGAAAGGGCCGGGCAAGACCGGUGCCAGCCGCCGCGGUAAUACCGGCGGCUCGAGUGGUGGCCGCUUUUACUGGGCUUAAAGGGUCCGUAGCUGGAUUCUCAAGUCCCUUGAGAAAUCUAUCGGGCUAACCUGAUAGGCG